UUUCACUUGUAUUUGAAAAAUUAUUAAACUUGAUUUGAAUUCAAAAAAGAUUUUAUUCUAUAUUUUCAUAUCUUUCUUUGAUCAUAAUUUAUGAAUUGCUCGGUAUAUUCAUUCAUCUUGUGAAAAACAUGCAAAACAUAUUUAAUACGUAUUUGCAUAAAAAUCCUAUUAAUCUAAUGAUAAAAAAUAAGCAAAAGGAUAUUUUAAAUGCGAGUAUGUAAUUUCAAAUUUCCGAUCGCGAGUCCAAAGAUCAAAUUUCAAGGGAAAAUUUUUUUCAUUUGUUCGUUCAUCGUCGAACAUCUGUCUUCAGGGCAUCCUCAUUCUCGAUCUAGGAAAAGCGUAUCGAAUCAGAAACAGAUUGCAUCGAGGAUAAAGUUUCCAUUCUUCGCCUGGAGAAAGAUCUGAUAAUCGGUAUUAACACGGAUCAGAUCGUAUCUGUCUCGAUACAUUCAACGGAUACAAAGUUAGUGCAGAUGCGAUAGUUAUUAUGGAAAUCAGAAUAUCAUUCGUAAUUGAGGAAGUGGCUCAUUUUCUUGAACGAUCGAAGAAAUUGAUCUGUGAUUAGUAUUGCACACUUGGUUCUUCUUUAAAAAAAAUUAUGCAGCGGAAAAAUUGGAAUUAAAAAUACUUAUAAUUUUGAGGUUAUACGUACGUAUUUAUAUAUUUAUUUUAUUCUUGGAAUCCAUAAUUGGAGAAUCUAUGAUUCAUAAGAUGUAAUUCGAAUUUUUAUUAAUCAAAUCUCUCUAAUUAGAUAAUUUCGAGAAAUCUUUUUAACUCGAAUCUUAUAUUAUAUCUCUUCUCGAGUUAUAAAUUAUCGAAUCUCGUUAUCGAAGUAUAUUGUGAUAUUUUAUAUAACAAUAUAAAAUAACAAUUACACGAUAUAUAUUCCAAUCACCAAGGAUCACAUAAAAUAUAACUUCAUCAAAUAAUAAAACAAGAACUACAAUAAAAUUCCAGCAGAUGCUCGUAAACAUUGGUUUAUAGUUUUUCCCAGGACUUUGGUCGGGUGAGACCUUUCAUAUCCUUUUAUGGCCACACUAUUAUCAUGGAAUCUUGUAAAUGUUUGAACAACCAUCCCAAAGAAGUUUUACCAUGUCGCAGCGGCUAUCACGUGGCUGUACGUGGCACGUUUACUAACCAGAUAGAGACACAAAAUAAUUCGCUUGAAUUCGUAAGAAAUGCACUGCUGAUAUGCUUGGAACAUUGGUUUAUUGGUCAGUCUGGUUCAUUAAUCUUUUACAUGGAAAGAUCGAUUCAAUGAGUACAGACGAUGAAUUUCUUAAUUAAGAGACUUUUGUAUCGAACCAAUUGAUUUUUGCCAAGAAUGAAAGACGAGAAUUUUUAAAGAUGAAAUUAUAGAAAAAAAAUUGUGAAAAAUUGCUAUUUGUGGGUCAAUGGAUAGUUGCU